AUUGAACGCUGGCGGCAUGCCUUACACAUGCAAGUCGAACGGUAACGGGCCUUCGGGUGCCGACGAGUGGCGAACGGGUGAGUAAUGCAUCGGAACGUACCUUUCAGUGGGGGAUAACGUAGCGAAAGUUACGCUAAUACCGCAUAUUCUGUGAGCAGGAAAGCAGGGGAUCGCAAGACCUUGCGCUGAUUGAGCGGCCGAUGUCAGAUUAGCUAGUUGGUGAGGUAAAGGCUCACCAAGGCGACGAUCUGUAGCGGGUCUGAGAGGAUGAUCCGCCACACUGGAACUGAGACACGGUCCAGACUCCUACGGGAGGCAGCAGUGGGGAAUUUUGGACAAUGGGGGCAACCCUGAUCCAGCCAUGCCGCGUGAGUGAAGAAGGCUCGGUGUAAGCUCUUCGGCGGAGAAUCGACAUGGGCUAAUCCCUGUCGCGGAUGACGGUACCGGGCAUAAGAAGCACCGGCGUAACUACGUGCCGAGCAC
rnacentral:rRNA from 1 species